rnacentral:lncRNA from 1 species
UUCGGCUUUCUAAAAUACAUAAGUUUUCAGGGUAAAUACAGCAUCAGUUUUUGGGUUCUAUAUUUUUCCAUAAGUGCACGUUUACCAUAUUCUUUUUAAUCUAAAGAUUUCAGGCCUAAGCUCCAAACUGCAAACAGUACACAAAUAUAAUGGUCACAGUUUUAAUUUAUGAAACAGUAUUUCAUUUUCUCCAAAAUAAACUAGAAAUCAGCUACCAUUUUCUUAACUUGGGGAGCUACCGCCCUCUAGAGGGUGGGUCUAGAAAUGUCAGGGUUCUCCACUGUCACAGUGAGGAAUGGGGCAGGGGUGCUGCUAGUGGCAUUUGGUAUUUGGGGAUGAAGGAUACACAUAUAGAACCACUUUCCCCAAGAUGCCAAUAGUAUUCACUUUGAAACAUAAUCAAAGUGAGACCUACGG